UACAGAGGUCCCAAGCGUUGUUCGGAUUCACUGGGCGUAAAGGGUGCGUAGGCGGUCGGGUAAGUCUGUCGUGAAAUCUCCGAGCCCAACUCGGAAACUGCGUCGGAUACUAUUCGGCUAGAGGAAUGGAGGGGAGACUGGAAUUCUCGGUGUAGCAGUGAAAUGCGUAGAUAUCGAGAGGUACACCAGUGGCGAAGGCGAGUCUCUGGACAUUUCCUGACGCUGAGGCACGAAAGCCAGGGGAGCAAACGGG
rnacentral:rRNA from 1 species